AGAGCAUUACAGUUCCCAACAGAAGGCUGGCUGCGUAUGAGUAUAGGCAACUGUGGUAUCACUUGGCUGACUAUCAAACCGAAUGGUCGUGUCAGCUUACGAAGCAUGAGCGACACAGGUCAUUUACAUCCACAUCUCAUCACGCGAAAUUGAUAGUUUGAUAAAUAAUGAAAUUAGCUUUAUUUUCAUAAUUGAUGGUGGUCCGAACUGGAACGUUUUGGCUCUGGAGGAGAUUAAUUUCCUGCGCAAAACUUCUACCAAUUAUGAAAAUCUGCGCAAGUAAUUUCUGGGGAAUUUGCGCAAAAUUGCGCAAAAUGCUUUUGUGAACCAAGAACUAAGCAGAUUUCUGAUCUUCCUAUAUUCGACAAAAACACUUUCUGACUGCAAGAACGCCGGUUUGCCAUAAUUGUUUGUGGAAAAUGUCCAUUAUAUAUUGCGUAUUUUUCCAAGGAAAAAUCUUUCCUUCGCAAAAAAAAAUUUCAGUCUGGCUGGUUGUUAACUUUAGACAUGGAGAAAAUUUUUGGUAUUAAGAAUAUUAAAUCAGAUCUCUAAAUUCUAUUUAGUUUGCUUCAAAUUUUACUUCUAGACUGGUCUACUUCAUUAAUUUCACAUAAUGAAAAAUUAACAUCAUCUUUUCACGCUUAUAACCACCAUCUUCAGAUCAUGCUUAGUGAGAUUCAUCUAGAUAUGUUUGCACUACUAAGCCAAGAAAACUUGGUAAUUUGUUAAAUUGGUCGCACGAAUUUACUAAUAUUUUGCAUAUUUAUUUCAAGCCGGGGGCGAUGUACUUCGCUCGCACGAAUCUCGAAUUAUUGUAUUUUAUAUUCAUAGUACCAACCCAAGACCGCUGUAAAUUGUCACAUGAAAUUAAAAAUGUAUCAAAUGCUUUCUGGACUUCUUUGUCAAAUUAUCUUCUACAGGGUGUAAUAAAAAAACGAGACGUUUGAAUGAAU